UACGAAGGGAGCUAGCGUUGUUCGGAAUUACUGGGCGUAAAGCGCACGUAGGCGGAUUGUUAAGUCGGGGGUGAAAUCCUGGAGCUCAACUCCAGAACUGCCUUCGAUACUGGCGAUCUCGAGUUCGGGAGAGGUGAGUGAAACUGCGAGUGUAGAGGUGAAAUUCGUAGAUAUUCGCAAGAACACCAGUGGCGAAGGCGGCUCACUGGCCCGAUACUGACGCUGAGGUGCGAAAGCGUGGGGAGCAAACAGG
rnacentral:rRNA from 1 species